rnacentral:rRNA from 1 species
UGGGGAAUAUUGGACAAUGGGGGCAACCCUGAUCCAGCAAUACCGCGUGUGUGAAGAAGGCCUUCGGGUUGUAAAGCACUUUAGGUUGGGAAGAAGGCAUAUAGUUUAAGAGAUAGUAUGUUUGACGGUACCAACAGAAGAAGCACCGGCCAACUACGUGCCAGCAGCCGCGGUAAUACGUAGGGUGCAAGCGUUAUCCGGAUUUACUGGGCGUAAAGAGCUCGUAGGUGGUUCGUCACGUCGGAUGUG